CUGCUUAUGAGGACUCAGGCAGGUGUCCCGAGAAAUCACCCAGUCAUGAGAGGAACCAUAAGAACUUUGUAAGAGCUGUUGGAAAGAGGAGGAGUACACGUGGCUGGUGCAUGAACCUUGAAACGAUGAGUGAAUGAAGGCGGGAGUUACUGGAAGGAAGGUAAGG